rnacentral:rRNA from 1 species
UACAGAGGGUGCGAGCGUUAAUCGGAAUUACUGGGCGUAAAGCGCGCGUAGGCGGCUUUGCAAGUCGGGUGUGAAAUCCCCAGGCUUAACCUGGGAACUGCAUUCGAGACUGCGUUGCUAGAGUAUGGGAGAGGGAAGUGGAAUUUCCGGUGUAGCGGUGAAAUGCGUAGAUAUCGGAAGGAACAUCAGUGGCGAAAGCGACUUCCGGGACCAAUAUUGACUCUCAUGUGCGAAAGCGUGGGGAGCAAACAGG